rnacentral:rRNA from 1 species
AUGCAGUCGAGCGAAUGGAUUAAGAGCUUGCUCUUAUGAACGUUAGCGGCGGACGGGUGAGUAACACGUGGGUAACCUGCCCAUAAGACUGGGAUAACUCCGGGAAACCGGGGCUAAUACCGGAUAACAUUUUGAACUGCAUGGUUCGAAAUUGAAAGGCGGCUUCGGCUGUCACUUAUGGAUGGACCCGCGUCGCAUUAGCUAGUUGGUGAGGUAACGGCUCACCAAGGCAACGAUGCGUAGCCGACCUGAGAGGGUGAUCGGCCACACUGGGACUGAGACACGGCCCAGACUCCUACGGGAGGCAGCAGUAGGGAAUCUUCCGCAAUGGACGAAAGUCUGACGGAGCAACGCCGCGUGAGUGAUGAAGGCUUUCGGGUCGUAAAACUCUGUUGUUAGGGAAACACAAGUGCUAGUUGAAUAAGCUGGCC